AGAUUUCCCAGUUGCUGACUCAUAUCCUUGGAGGAGAAGCACCAUGUACUGUUGGGACUACGCUACGAACACAACUUGGCCUGGCUACUUUGAGUUCACGCUUUUAUUUCUUCCUUACACUCUAAUAAAAAAAAUUGCCCUGGAGAUGCCUUCUGAAUAAUGACAGAUCACCCGUGCAGUCACAGCGGUCGCAGUCACAGGUAUUAGUGAUCUUCUGAACUGUUAUCUCUGUUUUCAAGCCUCAGAAAGUCCAGACAAGAGAAUAUGUGCACCUUUCAUUAACACAAGAAGAGAUCAAGAGCUUCAAAACCAGCUGCUUUGGCUAAGUCAUCAGGAGCUCACAUGGACCAAACCAACAUCUCGGGCAAAGAAAAAGAAAAGAAGUCUGAAUUAAGAAAUAGGAAAACAACUGCCAAACCUCUAUACUUCAUGCAUGCUAAGAACAUGGAAUUGUGAAAACGUGAUCCUGUCUCUUCAGCAGAAAUAUAUGUGGGGCUUUAUCACACGAGGAAAAUGCCAUGAGAAAAAUGCACCAAGUUUAAUAAGGCAACCACCAGUUCACAGAUUAUUUUUAAUGUUUCUCUGUGUGAAAGCUUCAUUCCAGAAAUUUCAGCAAAGAAUGGAUUAAUCUUGGAAAAGACUGUCCAAAAUGAUGUUUUUUUUAAUUAAGAUGUGCUCUCCUGCUCCAUCUCAGUAUUUAUGACAAAAACAGCAUCAGAUGAAACACUUCUUCCCCUACCAGAUGAAGACGACAAAUGGCAAAUCUUCCUUGCCCUAUCACUGAAGAAAUAUGGCAAGCAAAAUUUAUUAGUGCCACGAGGGCUACUAAUUCCAUACCUUCUAGGCUACUGCGCUCUGUUCAGCGUGACGCAUGCAAGGCAAGCGCGCAGCACCUGCCCUCCCAGAGGGACCCGGGCAGACAACCUGCAGUCCCUCAUCCCAGCUCCAACGCGCCACAGCCCUGUGGCACCUUCCGGGUCCUCCUGUUUGCUGCGAUUUGAGCCAACAGCAGGGUUUCAGCUUUACACGUGGGACAGCAGGCACCCAGAUGCCGCCACAGGAAAAAUGCUGCUGCAGGGGAAGCGUCCUGCUCCUCACGCAGCCCUCUCGGGUGAUGCCUUCGGUACGACUUGCCUGAUCAACGUCAGGAUCCAAGGCGGCGCAGACACGCAGACGUCCCCGCCUGCCCCUGCCCAGCUGCGGGCAAGGGCCUGCCAGGCGACGUGGGGCUCACAGGCUGGCGUAGCCGGGGGCUGCUCCGCCUGCAGGGCCUGGGGAAGGGGCAGCCCUGGGCUCGCGAGAGCGGCGGGGACGCAAGCAGGACUCUUCCAGCCCACAGAGCACCUCGCCCUGCUGGGAGCCACAGUGCCUCUCCAGAUACCUGCAUGAAGGGAUCAGCGAGCAAAAACGCACUGCCAGCAGGCAGAGGAGGCUGUGGUGCUUUCCGCCACACGAGUGGUGAAGUGCGAACGGAAGAGAUGAAUCACAGCUCAACGUGGGCAUCUGUUUGGGGAAAUGCAUUUAGUCUGAUGCCUAGAUACCUGCAUUUAGUCAGAUGAGUCACACCCUGUUGUUUUGAAAUCAUUAAUUUGAACCGAUUUUGAUGCAAACAGGACAGACAACAUUGGCUGUCAAGACAAAGCUCCUCUGAACUGACUGUGGGACUUGCUAUUCACUUCCUGCAUUUUUUGAUCAUGACUUCAGGAAACGCAGGCCCCAACGAUGGCCAGAGCAGAACAGGUCUGCGGGCUGCAGCCAGAAAGGGUCCUCGCUGUGGCACCACGAAGAGGCGACGGGACAGAGCUUCAGCAGCUCUUUAAACAGCACAGGCCUCCAAGGCCAAAUGGUGUUUCUCACUGGAAUAUCCAAUUUUUGCAUAUAGAUGCCCAAACAUUUUUAUAUAAUUUGAGAGAAAAUAAUACUGACUUUAAAUUAGAAUGAUAUUAAGCCUUCUACCUGACAGCUUGGUCUGCUGCUUCGCCUUCAAGACUUUUUUUUGGACUUAUUUACAGAAGCCUGCAGGAGGCCUGCCAGGAGCACAGGAACAGCGGCUGCGCAGAGUCACCCCCUCUGGAGAUACUGCCCCAGGCCACAAAGACCAAGUUCAGCAAGGAUUUUUUUUUGUAUUGCAUCAACUUGCUCCUGUCCUGUCCCCACAGCUUUAACAGAACUAAAUACUAAAUGCAAUGGGAAAUAUGCCUGAAGGAUUUUUAUUUUUUAUCUUUUUACCCUGAACAACAUAAAAUUAAAACAGUAAAUGAUUAAAGAAGCAGAUAGCUUAUUAUAAAGCUGUUACAGGACACUGAAAUUAAAUAGUUUUUCUAGCCUCUUUACAAGCUACCUGCAGGAGCAACAGCAGGGAAUUAUCAAUGGCUGAUAUUUGGCCUUUACUCUUCUUACUGAGAGUUUGGAAGCAAGAGGGAUGAAUUUCUUCCUAACCAGACUGCAUUGGAAGGAGGCUUACACUGGAGACAUAUCCAUUUUAAAUUAAUUGAUUUAAAAAGCCAUUUUCCCGUAGGGUUGUUAUCUUGCUUUGAAAGUGAACCAACACCAAAUACAUUUUAAUACAGUUUAGUAUACAACCACUGAUGAUUUGUGCUGCUGUAAUUAGAGCCUUCCAAGGCUUCUCACCUUCUUAAAACAACAGUUCCUUUUAAGAGGCCAGCAAGCUUUUGCAUAUGUUUACACAGAGCCUAAAAUAAUAUUCCUUCAAAGCUUAAAAGAUGAGCAGGACAGGUUUAAGUGUGCAGCUGUACUACCUAGGAAAUGAAGCAAGUGACCUGAACUCAGCUCUAACUACACAGUCCUUCUCAUGGUGUUUACCAUGUUAAUGGCCUGUGACGAGAGAAGACUCCACAAUACACGCAUACAUAAAUAUACACACACAUAUAUAUAUUUAAAUGAAAUAAUCUCAUGAAACUUUGGAUCCUACAGGAUGCUGUUUCAUGACAAAAUGGGGUGAACAGCAACAUCAUCCUCUGAAAUCUUCAAAAAAUGUAUCUGUACAUGGAAAAAAAAACGUUAGGAGAAGGGAGGCCUCACCUGGGGUAAAGAUUCUGAGCAUGUUUACCACGGGCGGAACAAACUGAUAUAUGCACGCUUGUGUAGAGGAAACGGCACAUUAGUCAAUACUGCUCUGCGAAAGGGAGAGUCCUCCAUGAAUUUAUAGCUAGGCAUUAAAUACACAGAGAGGAGAUUUCUUUCUUACCUGAAGUUCUCUUUGACUGAUUUACAUCUUGAAGUACGAGCAACAGAUCCUGCCUCCUGCUCUGUCAUGUAUCCUGUUCAACUGCAUCGCUGUACUGACACUACCAGGCAAAAACACCACCAUGCAUUUUGCAGACGAAUGAGUCAUCCCACCACAACUUUGAACCGCAGCAAAUCUCACUUAAAUUUCAGAGGAGAACAGAAUUUGAUGCCUGUGCAAGGUGAUGCAUGCAGACAUUUAGGGACUGAAUUAAAUGGGUUUUUUUUUUUCCUUUUCUCAAAGAAAAAGACUGUAAUUCAUAAGAUAUUGAAUACAUCAGCAGGUUUUUAGCUGUUCUGUUUGAGACUACACUAAUGCAGUAUGAUGCGAUGGAUGGAGACCCCUUCUGCCCUCUGUGUUGGUGCAGAGCGCAUGCAGACCCCUUGCACGAAGGGGGACUGUGGCCCUCCUCUGCACGCCCAGAGCCCCGGACGACUCCAGCGGAGUCAAUGCAAGUGCCCAGGGGUGCUAAGAGCAUCCCAAUGGCACGUAGCCAAGGCCAGGGGAUGAGAACCGGGUGAGGAUACAGUACUAACGUGACUUGCCAUUUCCCCCGGAGCAACUGCACAUAGAAACAUAACCACAACGGAUUAAAGUUCCUGCUUCCAGCUCUUGAAGCAAA